UACGUAGGGGGCAAGCGUUGUCCGGAUUUAUUGGGCGUAAAGAGCGUGUAGGCGGUUUGGUAGGUCCGUUGUGAAAACUCGAGGCUCAACCUCGAGACGCCGGCGGAAACCAUCAGGCUAGAGUCCGGAAGAGGAGAGUGGAAUUCCUGGUGUAGCGGUGAAAUGCGCAGAUAUCAGGAAGAACACCCGUGGCUAAGGCGGCUCUCUAGUACGGUACUGACGCUGAGACGCGCAAGCGUGGGGAGCGAACAGG
rnacentral:rRNA from 1 species